UCAGAGAGUGAUAUGAAAAGAAGUGGAAAAUAUUUGAGGAUGCAAAAAUGUACAAACCCUUGAAAAGGCAGCUGGAACUUGGAUUGAGUGGCGCCACCAAGCGUCUUCCCGAGGAACUACACUCAGCAUCAAGCCGCCAUAGCUUUGAACUGUGUCUAUGAGCAUCUGUGCUUUAUCUCUAUAUGUUCUGUGCAUCCCUUAUCAAGAUGAAUCUCAAGGGAUCAGAAACAUACCUGUAUCUGAUAGACUGUUCCAGAUUAAAGACGGCAGAAGACGCAAUGACUGAAUGCCAUGUGUGAGCCAUGAUUUGUUUACAUUAGUGACAAAAUCUGAAUAAAUUCUUCAGAUUAGUUAAUGAUUCCAUGUUGAUGUUAAUUUUGUGAUUCUGGAAAAUGGGACUUUGGAAAUAGAAGGGAAUGUCUGCUUAUUUUGAGAAAAUACAUGAAAAUAUUUAAGAAUAAAGGGACAGCAUUUCUGCAGAAUAUCUCAAACAAUUCAGAAAAAGAGGGAGAGAAAAAAAUAACAAAUGUAACAGGAUGGCAUUAGGGAAUUUUGGAGAAGACUAGAAAGAUAUUGGGAAUUAUUUGUAUAUUCUUGGGAUUUUUUUUUUUUACAAAUCUGAAAUUGUGUCAAAAUAAUUAAAAGUAUACCUUUUGUUGACUUCUUUCUCAUAAUAAAUAAAAUAUGUUUUUUUAAUUCUACACACCUUUGUGAGGCUCAAAGUUCCUUAUGAGAUGCUGCCUUUCCUCUAUAACUUGUCUUCUAGAGCCUUCUUGCCCAUUCUAAAGUUCUGUAAGGUGGUCAAGAUGAAUCUUCUUAUAGCUUUCCAAGUGUCACCACGAGAGAAGAAAAUUCCUUGUAAUAAAGAAAAUGUUCUUGAGUUAUUUCCUCAAAGCUUUUAAAAUCUAAUUUCUGAGGAUAAAUAAAAAUGAAAAAGAAUUAAAUUCUCCCUAUUGAAAGUAAGGGCAGAAGUUUCUCUUCCUCUUGGAGUAUUUACUGUAGAAAACUUUGUAAGUACUUUCACCUCCUUGCUUUGAAUUGUAUAUUCAGCGUUUUGAAAACUACGUAGGUCUUUGGUCAGCUUUAUGACCUAGGAAUAUCUUUCUCAGUGACCCGGGAGCCAUUUCUUUGGAACAUAAACAUCAGUUAUCUCUGAAAGGAGAGGCACCUCACUUUGGUGACUGGCAAGACUCCAAGUUGCAAAACUACCUCCUGUGAAAAAGAAAUGAGAAAUUUACUUUUCCUGUGUAUAAAGCCAGCUGAUACAGAUGGUCAUCCCAAUUACCUAGUGAAUCUAAGAUGAACUCUGUGUGAUGCUAAAAGCAAGGCAACAGGCCAAAAAUGGAGUUGGUUAUGCUAAGCCUCAAGUCACCAAAUGGUGAGUUAAUUAUAGUUCAGUUGUCCCAUAAGUGGAAUCGUAAAACCAGUUAAUCAGGAACCACCUGAUCCCACUGGUUAGGUCAUCUGCCUGAUAGGCCCCUACCAUCCCCUAAAGGAAAAUAACUUUAAAAUAAAAACCCUAUUUUUUUUGCCCAGAAUAAUUUCCUUGUUCCUUCUCCCUUCUGACUAUAAAAGUCUUUCACUUUGUACAGCUCCUUGGUGUUCCUUCCUUGCUGCUAGAAUGGAUGCUGGCAGAUUCAAGUUGAUCUUUGUUCAAAUAAACUCAAAAUGUUUACCUCAGUUUAUCUUUUAACAGUGACAAAUGGUAAUAUGCUUCAGUUUAUCUUUUAACAGUGACAAAUGGUGCUGUCAAAUCCUCUUACUUGAGGACUAGUUCUUUUUUAUCUUAAUAACAUUUUUGU